AGACGUCCGCGUCCCUGACAGGCCACCUACAGGCUGGUCUCGGCUUUAAAGCAGCUGUGCCUCUGUCCCCUCGAAGUCCAGCAGUCGGCCACCGUGUCCACGUCUAGGAGUGUGCCGGGACUCCAGACCUUCCUACCUCCUCUUGGCGUAAAAAUUGCGGUGGGCAGGACAGACGACCGGAGACAGGUCAAGGGCUAGUCUUGGAAGGGCUGUCAACACAAGUCCCAACUGGAUUCACGAGGUCGAGGCCCGGGAUGCCCUGGAGGGAAGGGAAAGGAGCUGCUCCGCCACAGGUGUGACGUCUCCCUUUCUCCAAACUGGGGGUGGGAGGGAAGGGUUGCGGGCGGCGGCGGCGGCGGCUGGGAAAGCCGAUCUGGAGCUGACACUGAGCUCUCCUGCCAGCAGGAGUUACAGGGUUGCGUGCGAGCUAAGCCGCGCGCUGCCGCCAGGUCUCCUGUGCCUUUCGCCCCGACUCUAGGUGUAGCGGACCUGUUGCCUGCGGAAAAGCGUCCCACAAGAUCUGAGCGCCAGGAGUCCGUGCUGAAGUCAGUCGCGAUCCUGCGGGUGAGCAUCCCCAGAGUCCAGCGCCCAAGGGAGAAAAACGUAAACAGUGCCGGGGAGAAGCAGCGGGUAACCACCCCAGGACAACCAACCCCCUUUUCCUACCCUUUGCGACGGUUAGUUGGUGGCCCCACGAGCCGAGCCGGGGGGGGGGGGGAAGGGAAGGGGGAAAGAGGUUCAAGGGGCUGUGAAGGCUGGGAAAAUAGCUGACGAAAAGGUGCAAACAGGGCAGAUACAUCUCAGUCGUGCCUUUCCUCUCGCUGGGAUCUUGAACGCAGCUCAGGAUCCCACUACUUAAGGUUCGUACAGCUUCCGCACCACUCAUUAGGCACCAGAAGCUGGACAGCACCGGGUCCGCAGAGUACCAGAGGUCCGUCGGUUCCUGGGCUCUUCUCAAGCUGCCAGGCCCAUGUCCACAAUCCCGUACUCCAUUCAAACAAGGCCAGGAGGGUUUACUUUCAAGAAGAUACCUGAGACCUUAUUGGCCAGGAAGGAGAAGCCAGUCUCUCAUUGGCUGUUUUACCCAGGAGCAAAGGGCAGGCUCUGAAUUCUGGAACCCACGAUGGAGCUUUUGCUUUAGUCAACUGAGAUCGCACUCGAUUUCCCCGAGUCAACUUUUCUGCCUAGCUGUUUGUGGCUCGCCUGAGCAUAUCCGCAGACUACAUUGUUCUGUAUGUACCCAUUUUCUGAGGCAUCAUAAAUCUGUUUCCAGGCUAGUACAGGUUACUCUCGGGGAUCAGUACGUCAGGGGAGCAGAGGUCUGAGAUCUCUAGAGAUACCGACUUGGUCUUUUAGUUCGAGGGGCUUGGGAAACUUGGGCGGGGGUGGGAUGGAAAAAUAGAGGAGGGAAAGAGGGAAGCGCCCAUCACCUGCAAGUAGCAGGCGGAGGACAGACGGAGACAAGACCCUAACACAGGAGAGGAGCGGAGAGAUCACCUAGGAAGGGUGCGGACAGGUAGGUGCUAAGUUGGGUCUAUGGAACUGUACUUGGGAUGUUCUUCUUUCUGUCACGGUUUAUUUCCUUUCUCUGCUCUGAGCCCUGAAAUGCUGAUGUGAAACUCUAUUCCUCAGGAAAAAAUGGGAGACAGGGGAGCCCACUGAAGACCCUCUUCAUCUUGGACACACACGCAGACGAUGACAGCCCGGAGGAUGUCUGAACGGACCCUGGGCUCCAGUGAAAGACUGUACUACACCUCUGGAUUAGGGACUCUUGACUCCCCAAAGAAACUACCAGAAUAUCCAUCUCUCUCACACUUCGACGGAAGACACCUCAGAGGGACUUCUCCAGAAACAAGGACGUUUGGCUCUCGAGUGGGACAGGAGACAGGAUGCCUGUCGUCAGGGAGUGGUGGGCUGCUCUGCGCCUGCAGACCCUCAUUCAUCCUGCGAGCUCCUCCUUCGUGAGAGACCACCACACAAAGCGCACAGAGGGCAGAUGACAAUGUGGACCAGCACUGGAGCAUGUGCUCCUAACCUCAGAAUCCAGGUGCAAGGGGGCCACCGGAUGUCGGCUGGCCUGGAGUGUCUGUGCCCGCCUGUGGGAAGGAGGGUUACAAAUACAACUUGCUAACUGCCAAUAAACAGAGUUUUGGAAG